rnacentral:rRNA from 1 species
CAGCAGCCGCGGGAAUACGAAGGGUGCAAGCGUUAAUCGGAAUUACUGGGCGUAAAGCGUGCGUAGGCGGUGAGUUAAGUCUGCUGUGAAAUCCCCGGGCUCAACCUGGGAAUGGCAGUGGAUACUGGCUCGCUAGAGUGUGUCAGAGGAUGGUGGAAUUCCCGGUGUAGCGGUGAAAUGCGUAGAGAUCGGGAGGAACAUCAGUGGCGAAGGCGGCCAUCUGGGACAACACUGACGCUGAGGCACGAAAGCGUGGGGAGCAAACAGGAUUAGAUACCCCUGUAGUCCCUGUCUCUUAUAA